UCCAACCAUCUCAUGCUCUGUUGCCCCCUUCUCCUGCCCUCAGUCUUUGCCAGCAUCAGGGUCUUUUCCAAUGAGUCAGCUCUUCGUAUCAGAUGGGCAAAUUAUUGGAGCUUCAGCAUCAGUCCUCACGUGGGAACUUUUGUCAUGAAAGCCAGCCAGGGAAAGUGUCUGCUACCAAGGUAGAAAUUACUGCUUUAUGUAACCUAAUCACAGAAUUGACAUCUCUAGGCUUAUGACAGAUCCCACUCACAGUCAGUGGUUAGGAGAUGAGGAGAAGGUGUCAAUAGCAGGAAGCAGAGUAACAGUGGACCAUCCGAGAAGCUCCCUGUCAUAGAGCUGAAAGAGUGAGCCAUGGUGGAGCCUAGGUGGAGGAGUGUUACAGGCAGAAGGAAUAAAUACAAAAGUCCUGGGUGGGAACUUGCUGUUGUGUUCAAGGAACAGCAAGGAGGCCAGUGUGGCUGAAGUAUAGUGAGAAAAGGGUAGGGGAACAGAGAUGAGCACAGCGGGUAGAUAAUGGGGGCCAGGUUACGUGGGACCUCUUGACUUUACUUUAAAUGAGAAGGGAGUCAUUGGAAGAUUUGAAGCAGAGCAAUGACAUAAACUGGCAUUGUUCUGGAUCCUCAAUACUCAAAACUUUGGUCCAGGGACUAGUAGCAUCGGCAUCACUUAAAGCUCAUUGCAUUGCUGUUGUUCAGUCGUUCAGUCGUGUCCAACUCUCACAACCCCGUGGACUGUAGCCCACCAGGCUCCUCUGUCCAUGGGAUUUCCCAGGCAGGAAUACUGGAUCAGGUUGCCAUUUCCUUCUCCAGGGGAUCUUCCCAACCCAGGGAUCGAACCUGGGUCUCCUGCAUUGGCAGGUGGGGUCCUUAGCACUGAGCCACCAGGGAAGCCCACUAAAGCUCACUAGCGAUGCAGAAUCUCGGCCCCACCCCAGGCCAACUGCAUCAGAAACUGUAUUUAACAAGAGCCCCAGGUGAGUGGAAUGCAUAGUAGUGAUGUCAGAAUCACCUGGAGCGGUUGUUGAACUGCAGCUUGCUGGUCCCCCUAACUCCCCAAGUUUCUGAUUUAGUAGAUGGGGGUGACUUCUGUGAUUCUGCACUUGUAGCAAGAGCCCAGAUGAUGCUGAUGCUGCCGGGCCAGGGGCCCUUCUUUAGAACCGCUGGUCUACAUGUGCCCAGUGCCAGGGCCCAGGGCCAAAUAAGAUAAAAUCCCUGUCUUGAUGUGGCUCACAGCCUCAGGUCUUUCUCCAGCCUCUGGGAGGGAGAUGACACACCAGAUCCAAAACUCCUUCCCUGCCAUAAAUUCCAGGAAGGUAGAUUUUAUAUGCUGCCCCUUGAAAUCACAUCAGUGAUGUAGGCCCAUGCUUACCCUGGCGUAAUCCCAUCUCUGUGUCUCCUAGUCACAGCGGAGAGAGGGAACAGGUGGUCACUAGCUCCCUGCUAACAACUCUUCAUAUGUUUGCAGCCCAUUAUUAAAUCGCCCUCAGAUUUUCCUUCUUGAAGGCUAAAUAAUUACCCUUCUCUGAAUCAUGGGGUGGAGAGGAUUGGGCUGACUAUAGCUACCAGCCUCAGGAGCAUAUGUGGUAGAAAUUCUUGAACCCCUGUGGGAGCUGGAGGUGAUACAGGGUAGGGGCUUCAGCGGGGUUUCAAAGGCUAGACCUUCAGACUUCUUCAUCUGAGCAAGAGCCUGAGAAGUGAUGCCAGCAGGCAGCAGGCAAGAUAAGGGAUGUUCAGUGGGAUGCAGGGAUCAGCUGGAGGUCAAGCAUCACUGGAAGAGGCACCAUGGUUGCAGAUGCAAGGAGAUCCAACCAGUCCAUUCUGAAGGAGAUCAGCCCUGGGAUUUCUUUGGAAGGAAUGAUGCUAAAGCUGAAACUCCAGUA